CACAAUUUAAUACAAGCGCUUGAUUAUACCAUUGAUUGCCAGAUACACUUGGUAGAGUCUAUCCUCAGACUCUGGCCAUCGAUCUCUUGUAUACUAUGCUCAGGGGUGUCCACAAGUGGCUGGGCCUGGGAUGUAUUGUCAAGCCUAUAGUCCAAUCCUUGGUAUCUGGAUCAAGAUAUGACAUUACGGCACUGGCACUGGUGUUGGUUGUGUUAGCCUCCUUCACCGGCCUUCAAGGAAGUGCGGCCUGGGAUCGUGGCUAGUUUUAUGUGGACCAUCACUGAGCAAAAUGGAACCUUCCCCUCCAACCCCCGUCGUACUCCUCCUAGCUGAUGGGUGUGAACUCAUUGAAAGAUGAUGCCCCAGUGCCAUCCAACGCAGUAUUUAUUAAGUCUUUCUGGAAGCUCUCGUUUGAGAUCUUCGC